rnacentral:rRNA from 1 species
CAGCAGCCGCGGUAAUACAGAGGGUGCGAGCGUUAAUCGGAUUUACUGGGCGUAAAGCGUGCGUAGGCGGCUUCUUAAGUCGGAUGUGAAAUCCCUGAGCUUAACUUAGGAAUUGCAUUCGAUACUGGGAAGCUAGAGUAUGGGAGAGGAUGGUAGAAUUCCAGGUGUAGCGGUGAAAUGCGUAGAGAUCUGGAGGAAUACCGAUGGCGAAGGCAGCCAUCUGGCCUAAUACUGACGCUGAGGUACGAAAGCAUGGGGAGCAAACAGGAUUAGAUACCCGCGUAGUCCCUGUCUCUUAUAU